AAUCGGUCGCCGUGUAACAGAAGGUCAUGAACCUCGUCAGGUCCGGAAGGAAGCAGCGAUAAGUGAUAACAUCUGUGUCGCGGAUCGAUCCCGAUUU
rnacentral:SRP_RNA from 1 species